GCACGUCGUAGACUAUGACGUUGAUAGGUCGGAGGUGGAAGUGCGGUAACGCAUGCAGCUGACCGAUACUAAUAAGCCGAGGGCUUGACCUUA
rnacentral:rRNA from 1 species